AGUGAACGCUGGCGGUAGGCCUAACACAUGCCAGUCGAACGGCAGCACAGUAAGAUCUUGCUCUUACGGGUGGCGAGUGGCGGACGGGUGAGGAAUACAUCGGAAUCUACUUUUUCGUGGGGGAUAACGUAGGGAAACUUACGCCAAUACCGCAUACGACCUACGGGUGAAAGCAGGGGAUCUUCGGACCUUGCGCGAUUGAAUGAGCCGAUGUCGGAUUAGCUAGUUGGCGGGGUAAAGGCCCACCAAGGCGACGAUCCGUAGCUGGUCUGAGAGGAUGAUCAGCCACACUGGAACUGAGACACGGUCCAGACUCCUACGGGAGGCAGCAGUGGGGAAUGUUGGACAAUGGGCGCAAGCCUGAUCCAGCCAUACCGCGUGGGUGAAGAAGGCCUUCGGGUUGUAAAGCCCUUUUGUUGGGAAAGAAAAGCAGCAGGUUAAUACCCCGCUGUUCUGACGGUACCCGAAGAAUAAGCACCGGCUAACUACGUG
rnacentral:rRNA from 1 species